UCCCUGCACCUGAGGCGCGGCCGUAAGCCCGGCCCGGUUUCAGCACAGCUGCCCUGGGACGCUCGGCCUGCACCCAGCCCGGCCGCCAUGGGGACCGCUCAGGUUUUGCCUGGCAUUCUGCAGAAGCAUUGCUGUAUCUUACCAGACAGGAAUACAGUUAUUUUAGAAAUUCUGUGGCUGCAUACCCGGAAGAAGAUGCACAUAUUUUCAGGCGUUUGUCAUUGUCAUGGAACUGAUGCCCUUAACAGAACUGGGUAUGAAAAGCACGAGGAGUAACAUCGGAUGGCACACUUCGCCCUUCUCUGGAUUAAACAGGAAAGACAG